ACAACGUGGAGCGGCCGCAGAAUGUAAACACGCCGGAGCGCGCCGCCCGCCACGUGCGGAGCCGGAGCCAUCCGCCGGGCGACGAGCGGGCGGCGGCGCACAGGAAGGUGCCUCAGCGCGGCCGGACGAGGAAGGAUCGGGAUCACACCCAGACCAACAGCCAUACAUCACAGUGUGGGAGGAUUUGGCACAAUCCCCACCCCAGUGGGUCCGACCAUUCCUCCUACCCCAUUGUCCCGGCUCCAGGAUCCUGCCUGUCCAAGAGAGUGCUGUGAAGAGAAGCCGAAGCCGAAGCCACAGCCUAAAGAAGAUGGCGAGCACAGCACUCCACCGGCACCCACCUCUAAGAUCUACCCUGAAAUAGAAGAACCCCCUGAGUGGCCUAUUCCUCUGCCCUCACCUUAUCCUCGAGCUCCCCAACCUGUAUCCCAACCCUCUGCUCCUCCAUCCCCUCUUCUGGCCCUGGUCCCUGGGACCGGAGGAAGAGGAGGUCCCUCAACAGGGACGAGGAGCUGAUGGGGAGCCACCCCUGAAGGACCGGCCGACUCCACUGUAGCACUUCCCCUUAGGGCUGUUGGGCCACCCCCAGCCGAUCAGAAUGACUUACAACUUUUACAUUAUUGGCCCUUUUCUUCCUCUGAUCUUUAUAACUGGAAGAUUAAUCACCCUCACUUUUCAGAAAACCCUGCAGGGCUUACAGGCUUGAUAGAGUUCCUGAUGUACUCUCAUCAGCCUACUUGGGAUGACUGUCAACAGCUUUUACAGACCUUGUUCACCACUGAGAAGAGAAAGAGAAUUCUCAAAGCUCAGAAGAAUGUCCGGGAUGAUGCCGACACCCUGUCCAGACCCCGGCCGAGAUAGAUGAAGGAUUCCUCUUGACCCACCCUCAGUGGGAUCAUAACACGGCAUGAGGCCAACAAUCCCCAGGUGACUUUCUUACAAUAUGUAGAUGACCUUUUGGUGGCCACAGAAACACGUGAAGAGUGUGAACUCAGGACUCAGAAAAUUCUGGCCGAGUUAGGUGAGUUGGGGUACCGGGCUUCGGCUAAGAAGGCACAGUUAUGCCGGACUGAGGUGACCUACCUGGGAUAUACCCUGAAGAAUGGGCAACGAUGGCUCACAGAAGCUAGGAAGUGGACAGUGACACAGAUCUUGACCCCAACCACCCCUCACCAGCUGACGAGACCCCCGUACAUCAGUGUGAGGAGAUACUGGCGGAGGAAACUGGGACUCAGCCAGACCUAGCCAAUCGACCUUGGCCUGAAACGGUAGCCUGGCUCACCAAUGGAAGCAGUUUCAUGGUAGAGGCCCAGCUGAAGGUUCUUGAAGUCAUGAGGAAAGAAACCUGGGAGCAGUUGAAAGAAACCUACGCUGCUGGUGACUUACAGGUUCCACAUCAGUUUGAAGUGGGAGACACGAUCCUGGUGAGGAGGCACCGAGUGGGGAACCUCAAGCCUCGGUGGAAAGGACCCUACCUGGUACUAUUGACUACACCCACUGCACUUAAAGUAGAAGGAGUCCCCUCUUGGGUUCAUGCCUCACACGUCAAGAGGGCUCCCCCUGAGACUGAUCGUGAUGAGUGAACUCUGGAAAAGACUAAUAACCCUCUUAAGUUGCACUUGCAUUACAAGAGCGACUCAGAACAGAGACUUCAACCCUCAUACUCCAAUUCAACAAACUUGGGAAGUGCUUAAUGUGGAGGGGGACAUUGUAUGGUCGACCACUGCAGUUCAACCCCUGUGGACCUGGUGGCCUGACCUCACACCUGAUAUUUGUAAGUUAGUAGCAGAGUCACUUACCUGGGACCUCCCUGACCAUACCAACCUUCAUAAACCACCACCUGAUAAACAGUGUGUCCCAAGCGGGAUAGGGAGCACGUUUGGAUGCUCGGGACAGUUCUACCUAGAGCCAAUCUUCGGUCUGCAGAAUUUUAUGUUUGCCCUGGCCAAAGCCAACCACGAAAGCUUCGGCAUCAGUGUAGAGGGGCACCGGACUUUUACUGUGCUGAGAUAGUUCUGAAUACCUUGAAAGCCGGUGUGCCUGGUUCAACAGCCCUAAUGGACCUUGUAAAGAUAAUUGUUGCAACCCCAUACGUAUAAAGUUUACUGACCAGGGGAAACGAGAACGACAGAGCUGGCUUAAGGGAAACAAUUGAGGUUUGCGAUUGGACGCAGUAGGGAAAGACUCUGGAUUAGUUUUCAAAAUCAAAUUGACUGUAGAGAGUAUCCAUCCCCAGUGCCCAUAGAACCUAAUAAGGUCCUUCCGGAACAGGGCCUCCCUGCCAAACCCAAACCCCCGGCUCUGAUAGUUGAGAACCCCCUCAAGGUUGUAACCCCCCAAGACCCCCCCGACCACAAUCCCCUCAGAUCCCUUCACAGGACAGAGACUGUUCAACCUGAUUAGAGGAGCCUUUUAUGCCCUUAACAGCAAGGAUCCAGAUGCUACUACUGACUGCUGGCUAUGCCUAUCCUCAGGCCCUCCCUACUAUGAAGGGAUUGCCUUUAAUGGGGAUUUUAAUAAAACCAGUAGUCAUGCCUCCUGCUCGUGGGGAACAGGAAAGAAAUUAACCCUGACUGAAGUGUCAGGGAGGAGCCCUGGUCUCUGCAUAGGGAUACCUCCCCCUUCCCACCAACACUAUGUGGUCGGACUCAUCCUGUGUCCAAGACAAAUACCAACUAUUACCUUGUGCCAUAUCCAGUCAGUUGGUGGUCCUGUAACACAGAGCCACCCCAUGCGUAUCAACUAGUGUUUUUGACCCCUCUCGUAAUUUCUGUGUUACAAUUAAGCUCCUACCUCACAUGUAUUAUUAUCCUGCUUCCCGCCUAGAAGAUGAGUAUACCAAUAAGAGAUUGAAAAGAGAACCAGUCUCCCUUACCCUAGCUAUGUUGAUGGGGGUCGGUCUUACGGUAGGAGUAGGAAUGGGCGUAACAGCCUUGAUUGAGGGUAGACAAGGAAUCCAAUCUUUAAGAGAAGCUAUAAAUGAAGAUUUAAGCAUGCUAGAAAAAUCUAUCGAUGCAUUAGAGAAAUCCUUGACCUCCCUAUCGGAAGUAGUAUUACAAAACAGAAGAGGUUUAGAUUUAUUGUUUUUAAAAGAAGGUGGACUAUGUGCAACCUUAAAAGAAGAAUGCUGCUUCUACACAGACCACACGGGAAUAUCAGAGAUUCUAUGCAGAAAUUGAGGGAAAGACUGGAAAGGAGAAAGCGAGAUCGAGAAGCUCAACAGGGAUGGUUCGAGUCGUGGUACUCUUAAAUCUCCACAAAUAACCACUUUACUUUCCGCUUUAGCCGGACCAAUUCUUACUAUAUGUUUGGGUUUUGAUCUUUGGACCCUGCUUAAUAAAUAAGGGAAUUGCUUUUGUUAAGAGUAGAGUGAAUGCAGUGCAGCUUAUGGUUCUCCAACACCAAUAUCAACCUAUAGUGAAGAUAGAAGAAGAAUAUGAUUUCUACCCCCACAUGAGGAUACAGACCUUUGAAAUUCUAAGAUUAGAAUUAUUUAGUAAAAGAAGAAGGGAAUGAAAGAAAGAAAAUUAAAUUCAAGGCCCAUGAUUCAUACGGCUCAUGAUGACUAGUCAGAAGGUUUACAGACCUAAGGCAGAGAGCAUAGCAGAACAGGCCCGGGCAUGACCAGACAGGCCAGCACAAAGGCUGUUAAGUCAUUCCAGGAACUGACUGGCCAUAAACAUAAGAGAGGCAUGCAAGGACAAUCUCCAGACAAGCCCAGUUAAGUAAUGGGCCACCUGGUCUGGUCUCCUUCUGAUAUAGUUUGAGUUUAACCAGAUGCUCUGCCCAUAAAGAUAAGCACCCUCCCUUUAGAGUUGCUGUUAUCCCGACCCGCAUGUACUGCUUGCUGGUGUUUAAACUGUCCAAUUGUGUGUAACCGCGCCAAUUUCCCCUAUCCCCCGACUUUUUUUCUAUAUAAACCCCUAAUUUUUGAGCCUCGGGGUCAAUUCCUCUGUCUCUUGUGUGAGACACAUGUCGGCCUGGAGCUCCGUCAUUAAACUACCUCAUGUGUUUGCAUC
rnacentral:lncRNA from 1 species